AAAGAGUGCAUUUUUGCACUGCUUAUGUUCAACGUUUAAUUGUUCGUCUUAUUUAAACAAGUUUUGUGAGUAGUAUUUUUAUUGUUACUAGAUGAUGACAAAAUAUAGAUAGUACUUUAUGUAUUACUAUUUUAAAAAAAUUAAAUUUUUUUUCAAAUAAGACGAAUGGUCAAACAUUGAAUACGGAAAUUCACAAAUACAGUUAAA
rfam:Oryza brachyantha chromosome 8, whole genome shotgun sequence.